rnacentral:rRNA from 1 species
UGAGGGAAGCUGCUCCUAGUACGAGAGGACCGGAGUGGACGAACCUCUGGUGUUCCGGUUGUGACGCCAGUCGCAUUGCCGGGUAGCUACGUUCGGACGGGAUAACCGCUGAAAGCAUCUAAGCGGGAAGCCCCUCCCAAGACUAGUUCUCCCCGACCCCUUGAGGGUCCUUAAGAGCCGUCCAAGACUAGGACGUUGAUAGGCUGGGUGUGGAAGCGCUGUAAAGCGUUGAGCUAACCAGUACUAAUUGCUCGUGCGGCUUGACCAU